AACAGGCCUUUACGUUCAUAAUUUUAUUCCUUGGAAUUCAACAAAACUCAAUAUUAUUGCUCAGGACAUCUCUGUCAAUCACGGUCUCGUUAACGAAAUAUGCAGAGUCUGGUGGGUCUGAUAGUUAUAUGAAGGAUCCUACAAGAAAAUCUUUCCAAACAACAUCUAGACUUGGCGGAACAUAGCCGGAGCACAAGAAACCUCAAUAACCCUUUCCAAAUGGCAGGACAAGACAUCCACUGCACGGCUUCUACUGUCCCUUCCACGGUGUCCUGGCGGGCAUUGGCGUGGAAGGCAGAAUUCUCACAGUCCUGUCGCAGGAGGCUCUUUCUCUGGGCCAAUGUCGCCGGCUAGGCAUAUCAACAUGUUCUCCAAGCCCGUGUUCUAAACGGGUGCUGUCAAUCGUUUACUCUCAUUCAUUCAUUCAUAGUAUAUCAUACUGGCUCGUGCGGUCUUGCUGCUUUCUACUCCCCCUUGUCGAGUGCAACCGUGUGUUCUAACUGCUGCGCAUGCGCCGUCAUUGCACAUGGCUAAAAUCGUACGGUUAAUGUCGCGCAAUCGCUUCUAGGCGGAUGUAUCAGGAAAUUGUCGUUGAUUUUGUCAUUGCCCCUUUACUUCUUGCGCCCCAGAUCGCCCUCAACAUCGCUCAGCUUUCGAACUCGGUUGAAGGGCUAUCUAUGUCAGCUCACUUGUCGAUACUAGU
rnacentral:sRNA from 1 species